GACGAACGCUGGCGGCAUGCCUAACACAUGCAAGUCGAGCGGCGCGCAAGGUGGGCGGCCGACGGGUGAGAAACGCAUGGGAUAGUGGCUUUUGGGUCAGUACAACGCCGACAAACUGGAGCGGACACGGGAAUAGCCCUAAGGAAGAAGGAUUUAUAGCGGAAAGAACGGCGCCCGUGUGAUUAGCUGGUGGGUGAGGUAACAUCCCACGAGGGCGACGAUCAGUAGCUGGUCGGAGAGGAUGAUCAGCCACGCUGGGGCGGAGACACGGCCCAGACUCCUACGGGAGGCAGCAGUGGGGAAUAGUGGACGAGGGGCGCAAGGAUGAUGCAGCCAUGCCGGGGGAGUGAUGAAGGCCGUAGGGUUGUAAAGCGCUUUUGGCCGGGAAGAUAAUGACGGUACCGGAAGAAUAAGCCCCGGCUAACUUCGUG
rnacentral:rRNA from 1 species